rnacentral:rRNA from 1 species
UACGUAGGGGGCAAGCGUUGUCCGGAAUCACUGGGCGUAAAGGGCGCGUAGGCGGCUUGGGAAGUCUGUGGUGAAAGCUCGUGGCUCAACUGCGAGUCGGCCAUAGAUACUCCUAAGCUCGAGUCGACUAGAGGCAGAUGGAAUUCCGGGUGUAGCGGUGGAAUGCGUAGAGAUCCGGAAGAACACCGGUGGCGAAGGCGGUCUGCUGGGGUCGAACUGACGCUGAGGCGCGACAGCGUGGGGAGCAAACAGG